CUUGGUAGCGCCGCGAGGUUUAUGUUCGUGAGGUGGUCAACGUUGAAAAGGUAUCCGCGCCGGUGAAGAUGCCUACAAGGGGCCGUACACCAUCUCGUGGCAGAGCUGGCGCUGUCAAGAAGUCGCCAGCGCGCUCACGAUCGCGUAGUCGCGGACGCAAGUCGCCGGCGCGUGGCGCCCGCUCACCAGCGCGUGUCAGCAAGUCGCCGGCGAGGGUCAGCAAGUCACCGGCGAGAGCCAGCAAGUCACCGGCGAGAGUCAGCAAGCCGUCGCCGCCGCCGCUGCCGCGAAGCAGGUCGCCCGCCCGCGUCACC